AAAAUUCCCUACUGAAAUAUUUUCAGAAUGGGUAAAGUUAGACAUCUUUUAUUACGGACUCACAGAUAUGGCUAAGAUGUCCUUAGCCCAUUCUGCUGGUGUUUCAAUCCACAUGAAAAAAAGACAAUUAAGGAAGCUCACGAGCUCAUUGAGACAGUUGCC